rnacentral:lncRNA from 1 species
AUCCGGGGUCAAGCGGAAAUUCCAAGCCCAUCAAGCCUGAGAAGGAAAUCAAGAGUUCUGCCAGGACCGCCCAGUUGAGAAAAUCGGAACAAGAUGCCUCAUGCUGUUGAUGAACUCCUAACUCUUAGAGCCUCAAGGGAAGGCAGGAAGAUGGGCCAGUAUCCCAGGCACUCCCAUGUUUGUUCUCAGCUGGGCUUUACCUCCAGAAUGUGGGAAGUUCCUGGCUGCUCUGGCAUCCACAGCUAUAAACUGCCCUGGGUCCUGUGAUUACAAUUGUGAUGGUCUCUGUCAAGAGACACAAACAUGGGGGUGGCACGGAAAGGGUACUAUGUUCUAGUCUAGCUUGCAACCAACUGUGACUGUGGGUGAGUCGACUCAGAUUUUUGAAACUUGUUGCUACUUUGUGGAUGUCCUUUAUUUUUAUUUUUAUUUUUUCCUGGGGCCUCACACAUAACCUAGCUCUUGUGUUAUUCCGUCAGCCAUGGGUCUUGAGAUUUUCAUGCGUUUGUUUAAAUGGUUCGGUUUGCCAUUUCAUUCAUGCAAUGAGAUCAUUGGGUUUAUGACCUAGACUGGAUAGGUUUUUGGUUUUUCAUUUUAUUUUAUCUUAUUUUUUAAAGGAAAUAAGAGAAGUUUAUCUAUGAGCAGACUCUCAUGUGAUAACUGGGAUCUCUAACCCAACAGGGCUUCCUUUACCUAAGACCACCCAGGGAAGGCAGCAAAAUGUCACUUCAGAACCAUUCUCAUGUUUGCCUCUGGAGCCAAUCAAGGUAAGCUCAGUCUCCCUGC